AUCGGAAUGAGUACACUCUAAACCCUUUAACGAGGAUCAAUUGGAGGGCAAGUCUGGUGCCAGCAGCCGCGGUAAUUCCAGCUCCAAUAGCGUAUAUUAAAGUUGUUGCGGUUAAAAAGCUCGUAGUCGAAUUUGUGUCCCGCGCCGCCGGUUCAUCGCUCGCGGUGUCAACUGGCGUGUCCGCGGGACGUCCUGCCGGUGGGCUUAGCCCCUGUGGGCGGCCCAAUCUCAAUCCCACCGCGGUGCUCUUCACUGAGUGUCGAGGUGGGCCGGCACGUUUACUUUGAACAAAUUAGAGUGCUUAAAGCAGGCUAAAACAUCGCCUGAAUACUGUGUGCAUGGAAUAAUGGAAUAGGACCUCGGUUCUAUUUUGUUGGUUUUCGGAACCCCGAGGUAAUGAUUAAUAGGAACGGAUGGGGGCAUUCGUAUUGCGACGUUAGAGGUGAAAUUCUUGGAUCGUCGCAAGACGGACAGAAGCGAAAGCAUUUGCCAAAAACGCUUUCAUUGAUCAAGAACGAAAGUUAGAGGUUCGAAGGCGAUCAGAUACCGCCCUAGUUCUAACCAUAAACGAUGCCAGCUAGCGAUCCGCCGACGUUCCUCCGAUGACUCGGCGGGCAGCUUCCGGGAAACCAAAGCUUUUGGGUUCCGGGGGAAGUAUGGUUGCAAAGCUGAAACUUAAAGGAAUUGACGGAAGGGCACCACCAGGAGUGGAGCCUGCGGCUUAAUUUGACUCAACACGGGAAACCUCACCAGGCCCGGACACCGGAAGGAUUGACAGAUUGAGAGC
rnacentral:rRNA from 1 species